CUACAGAGGAAUAAAUACAAUUUUGUGAAAUGUUUUAUUAUUAAUUAUCACUGUUGUAUACAUAAUUUUUUAAUAUAUGGUGGUAAAAAUCUCUUAAAACUCUACAGCCUAGAAACAAAUACUGUGGUGCAGACUUACAACACUGGACGCCCUGUCUGGAGCUGUUGCUGGUGUCUUGACGAAAACAAUUACAUCUACGCUGGACUGGCCAAUGGUUCAAUUCUGAUCUAUGACUUACGGAACACAAAUACCUAUGUCCAGGAAUUAGUUCCUCAGAAAGCCAGAUGUCCUCUGGUGUCCCUGUCAUAUUUACCCAGAGCUGCGGUGACUGCAUUUCCUUACGGUGGGGUGCUGGCUGGAACCUUGGAGAAUGCCUCCUUCUGGGAGCUAAAAACAGACUUUUGUCAUAAGCCUCAUGUGCUAUCCUUGGAGCCAGGGGGCUUUGUAGACUUUCAGACAGAGAGCAGCACCCGACACUGUCUUGUGACAUACAGGCCUGAUAAAAGCCAUAACACCGUGCGAACUGUGCUGUUGGAGAUGUCUUACAGACUGGAUGACGCUGGCGAGCCGGUCUGCUCCUGCCUUCCUGUGCAGACAUUCCUCGGGGGACCCACUUGCAAACUGUUAACCAAAAGUGCCAUCUUCCAGAGCCCAGAGAACGAUGGCAGUGUCCUCGUGUGCACUGCAGAUGAAGCGUCACAGUCUGCCCUGGUGUGGAAUGCUGGCAGUGGCUCAUUGCUGCAGAACCUGAAGACUGAUGAGCCUGUCUUGGACAUCUGCCCUUUUGAAACGAAUCAGAACAGCUACUUGGCCACCUUGACCGAGAAGAUUGUCCACAUUUAUAAAUGGGAGUGAGCGUGGCCGUGAGACCGCUAGGCACGCCGCUAGUUAAUGUGGCAUAGUCUGGAGCACCUCAUGACUCCAAACAAGAUCGCUGUCUACAUGCUGGAGCUGGAACUUCUGGAUCAUGGUUCAUUGGAUUAGUGUGAUUGUGUGCGGUUUACACCAAAUGAGUACCUUUGUGAAUCUUGCCUGGAAAUUUUUUACUUAAUUCUAUAGGAUCUUACAGUCCUCUCAACUACCAUUUAGGAUAUGAGUGCACACCAAGCAUUUGGGGGUUGUAAUAGCCAACCUAAAUUGUCGUGUCAGUUAGGCUAAUUGGCUUAAAAGCAGCACACUACAGGCCUGCCAUGCUUCUUGGAUGCAAAAGAUAGGCGGGCGAGUCUUCCAUUAAGCACAAAGGGCACUGUUCAUAUCCUGUGUAGGAUUUGACCUAUUUCCAAGUCUGAAUGCUUACAACCUUUUAGCGACUAUUUCGCCCAGACCCCUGCACUGCUUGCUGCCCCCAAUGUCUGGUACUUCUGUGUGGUGUGCUUUGUGGCAACAAGUUCCAUCCCAGGCAUCCAGGCCGACUCAAAUGUUGGCAAGGCUGGUGGUGGAGGUGGCUGAUGAGCCGCCAUAUGCAAAACCAUAUCAAGCCCCGUUGCAUUGUGGGAGGUAAGGAAAGGGACCGGGUGGUUGGGAUUUUUCUGGUUAGCUUGGGAUGCUGGGGGGGUUUUACUCCCCCUAAAGUCAAUGCCUAAGGAUAUAUAGUUCCCAAGUAAAGGCUCCCCCCACCCCCUUUUUUUCUGAAAAGGUUGUUAAUGAAGUGGUUAUGCUCAGGAAGGUAACAGUGGCUAGAGAUCUGUGGGAGGCAGGAAGGAAGACUCUUAGAAACUUCCGUCAUGGCGGUCCUGCACAGUCCAGCAUCUAGAGGUUUGCUCGGGUUUGUCUACUUGGCCUUAGGCUACCCCACUGAGCCACUGCCCUACAACACCUUGUCUCAAGGUGUGGCCAACCUGUCUGAUUUCUCUCAGAUGUUCCUUGAUGAAGCACUAUCUUUUUUAAUAAAAAUUCUUUCAUGCCUGUCAAACUCUUGAGCUGUUUUGGUGAUCUUUAUUGCCAACAAGGGAUUGUUAAGGGAAAAUUGUUAAUUUUCCCAGGGUUCCAAGUUGUGGCUGUGUCUGCUUAAUGAAACCUUCUACUUGAAGAUGUAUAGUUUGUUUUGUUUUUAAAACUUAAAGCUUUUAAAAUGUCAGCUUCCAGCCAGUUGAAGUGGUGAAUGCCUUUUGCCCCAGCACUCUGAAGGCAGAAACAGAUGGAUCCCCUGUGAGUUCAAGGCCACCCUCACUACAAGGUGAGUUUUGGACAGCCAAAAGCUAGAACACAGAGAAACCCUGUCUCAAAAAAAAAAAGGGGGGGGCAAAAGAAAAAUGUCAGCUUCCACAGCUUGGAGAAAAGUCACCUUUUCUCCCUCUCUCCCCCCAGAUGCUUUUGAUAGAUUGAUGGUUAAGGGUAAAUAGAAUUCACCUAACUUCUUCAGGUGGCCACAGAAAGAGCUGUGGGUGUCAGGUUGAUCUGGAGCAGGCUUAGGAUUUGACUUGCGUUGAAGGACAUUUAACUAAGGCCAACUGGGGGGAUUUGCUACCACAGAAGCUAACCUAAAUACCAAGCCUUGACAGCUUCUGCAUUUCUGCAAUUUGAAUUCGGGUAGGGGAGUGCCAGGACCUCAACCUGGUUAAGUUUUUUGCUCUACUACUGAGCUGUACUAGAAACCCAAAUCUGUGUUUUGGAAGCAGAUUCCCAUUAUAGACUGAUUCUCCAAAGACAGCCUUACCCCUACUUGCAAGAAACUUCAUCCCUAACACCCAGGCACCAGCAGGAUCUGUUUUUAAAUCUUGUCACGGGACAUUGGGAUUUCCGAAUAUUUGCUGUGCUGCAUUUCACUGUUUGUUUUAAUGUCAACAAAAUAAAGAAUCUGUAAUGUGUAACCCCAAUCCCAGUGUCUUCUGCCUGUGUUCACUAGAGGCAAGAAUAUCCCCACCUCUUGGGAAAGGUAGGAGCAUAAUCCUACUCUAGUAGAUUCCCCAUCUCAUCCAGUAUAUGAGUUACACAGAUGGUCCCUAGGGCUAAGUAAAUACUUAUUUAAUUAACCGUCUCUGAGUCAGAGUCUCAUGUAGCAGGGGUUGUACUUUAACUCCCCA
rnacentral:lncRNA from 14 species